rnacentral:rRNA from 1 species
AUGGUGCUCGCGCAGCUAGGCGGGAGCAUCUCCCGCGCGCUCGCGCAGAUGAGCAACGCCACGGUGAUCGACGAGAAGGUGCUCGGGGAGUGCCUCAACGAGAUCUCCCGCACGCUCCUGCAGUUCGACGUCCAGAAGAUCAUCAACCUCGAGACCCUCGCCGCCGGCACCAACAAGCGGCGCAUCAUAUAG